rnacentral:rRNA from 1 species
UGGGGAAUCUUGCGCAAUGGGCGAAAGCCUGACGCAGCAACGCCGCGUGAGCGAAGAAGGCCUUCGGGUUGUAAAGCUCUGUCAGGAGGAAAGAAGGCACCUGGGUUAAUAGCCCAAGGGCUGACGGUACCUCCAAAGGAAGCCACGGCUAACUACGUGCCAGCAGCCGCGGUAAUACGUAGGUGGCAAGCGUUGUCCGGAAUACUUGGGCGUAAAGAGCGCGUAGGUGGCGUGUCAGGUCUGGUGUGAAAUUUCGUGGCUCAACCCCGAACCUGCAGCGGAAACCGGCUUGCUAGAGUCUGGGAGAGGAGAGUGGAAUUCCUGGUGUAGCGGUGAAAUGCGUAGAUAUCAGGAGGAACACCGGUAGCGAAGGCGGCUCUCUGGAACAGUACUGACGCUGAGGCGCGAAAGCUAGGGGAGCGAACA